rnacentral:rRNA from 1 species
ACUGGUCUGCCAUGUUUGGGUGGAAUCUGUGUGGCAUUAAGUUGUCGUGCAGGGGAUGCCCAUCGUUUACUGUGAAAAAAUUAGAGUGUUCAAAGCAGGCUUAUGCCUCUGAAUAUAUUAGCAUGGAAUAAUGAUAUAGGACCUUGGUACUAUUUUGUUGGUUUGCGCACUGAGGUAAUGAUUAAGAGGGACAGUUGGGGGUAUUUGUAUUCCAUUGUCAGAGGUGAAAUUCUUGGAUUUUUGGAAGACAAACUACUGCGAAAGCAUUUACCAAGGAUGUUUUCAUUAAUCAAGAACGAAAGUUAGGGGAUCGAAGAUGAUUAGAUACCAUCGUAGUCUUAACCAUAAACUAUGCCGACAAGGGAUUGGUGGAGUUUCGUUUCGUCUCCAUCAGCACCUUGUGAGAAAUCAUAAGUCUUUGGGUUCCGGGGGGA